CCUCUCCACAGUCCCUGAACACACUGACUCUAACCAUGGAAUGGAGCUGGAUCUUUCUCUUCCUCCUGUCAGUAACUGCAGGUGUCGACUCUCAGGUCCAACUGCAACAGUCUGGAGCUGAGCUAGUGAGGCCUGGGUUAUCAGUGGAGAUGUCCUGCAAGGCUUCUGGCUACACCUUCACCAACUCCUAUGUGGGUUGGGUAAAGCAGAGAUCUGGACAGGGUCUGGAAUGGAUUGGACAUGUUCUUCCUGGAAGUAGUUAUAUUUUCUACAAUGAGAAGUUCAAGGGCAUGGCCACCAUGACUGCAGACACAUCUUCCAACACAGCCUACUUACAGUUCACCAGCCUGACAUCUGAGGACUCUGCGAUCUAUUACUGUGCAAGACACAGUGCUGUAACCACAUCCUGA